UACAGAGGUCUCAAGCGUUGUUCGGAUUCAUUGGGCGUAAAGGGUGCGUAGGUGGCGCCGUAAGUCGGGUGUGAAAUUUCGGAGCUUAACUCCGAAACUGCAUUCGAUACUGCGGUGCUUGAGGACUGGAGAGGAGACUGGAAUUCAUGGUGUAGCAGUGAAAUGCGCAGAUAUCAGGAGGAACACCAGUGGCGAAGGCGGCUCACUGGACUGGUAUUGACGCUGAGGUGCGAAAGCGUGGGGAGCAAACAGG
rnacentral:rRNA from 1 species